AUGAACGCUAGCGACAGGCUUAACACAUGCAAGUCGAGGGGCAGCACAGGUAGCAAUACCGGGUGGCGACCGGCGCACGGGUGAGUAACGCGUAUGCAACUUGCCUAUCAGAGGGGGAUAACCCGGCGAAAGUCGGACUAAUACCGCAUGAAGCAGGGGCCCCGCAUGGGGAUAUUUGCUAAAGAUUCAUCGCUGAUAGAUAGGCAUGCGUUCCAUUAGGCAGUUGGCGGGGUAACGGCCCACCAAACCGACGAUGGAUAGGGGUUCUGAGAGGAAGGUCCCCCACAUUGGUACUGAGACACGGACCAAACUCCUACGGGAGGCAGCAGUGAGGAAUAUUGGUCAAUGGGCGCGAGCCUGAACCAGCCAAGUCGCGUGAGGGAUGAAGGUUCUAUGGAUCGUAAACCUCUUUUAUAAGGGAAUAAAGUGCGGGACGUGUCCCGUUUUGUAUGUACCUUAUGAAUAAGGAUCGGCUAACUCCGUGCCAGCAGCCGCGGUAAUACGGAGGAUCCGAGCGUUAUCCGGAUUUAUUGGGUUUAAAGGGUGCGUAGGCGGCCUUUUAAGUCAGCGGUGAAAGUCUGUGGCUCAACCAUAGAAUUGCCGUUGAAACUGGGGGGCUUGAGUAUGUUUGAGGCAGGCGGAAUGCGUGGUGUAGCGGUGAAAUGCAUAGAUAUCACGCAGAACCCCGAUUGCGAAGGCAGCCUGCCAAGCCAUUACUGACGCUGAUGCACGAAAGCGUGGGGAUCAAACAGGAUUAGAUACCCUGGUAGUCCACGCAGUAAACGAUGAUCACUAGCUGUUUGCGAUACACUGUAAGCGGCACAGCGAAAGCGUUAAGUGAUCCACCUGGGGAGUACGCCGGCAACGGUGAAACUCAAAGGAAUUGACGGGGGCCCGCACAAGCGGAGGAACAUGUGGUUUAAUUCGAUGAUACGCGAGGAACCUUACCCGGGUUUGAACGCAUUCGGACCGAGGUGGAAACACCUUUUCUAGCAAUAGCCGUUUGCGAGGUGCUGCAUGGUUGUCGUCAGCUCGUGCCGUGAGGUGUCGGCUUAAGUGCCAUAACGAGCGCAACCCUUGCCACUAGUUACUAACAGGUAAAGCUGAGGACUCUGGUGGGACUGCCAGCGUAAGCUGCGAGGAAGGCGGGGAUGACGUCAAAUCAGCACGGCCCUUACAUCCGGGGCGACACACGUGUUACAAUGGCGUGGACAAAGGGAAGCCACCUGGCGACAGGGAGCGAAUCCCCAAACCACGUCUCAGUUCGGAUCGGAGUCUGCAACCCGACUCCGUGAAGCUGGAUUCGCUAGUAAUCGCGCAUCAGCCAUGGCGCGGUGAAUACGUUCCCGGGCCUUGUACACACCGCCCGUCAAGCCAUGGGAGCCGGGGGUACCUGAAGUCCGUAACCGCGAGGAUCGGCCUAGGGUAAAACUGGUGACUGGGG
rnacentral:rRNA from 1 species